GAUGAACGCUGACAGAAUGCUUAACACAUGCAAGUCAACUUGAACUUCGGUUUGGGUGGCGGACGGGUGAGUAACGCGUAAAGAACUUGCCUCACAGAUAGGGACAACAUUUGGAAACGAAUGCUAAUACCUGAUAUUAUGAUUUUAGGGCAUCCUAGGAUUAUGAAAGCUAUAUGCGCUGUGAGAGAGCUUUGCGUCCCAUUAGCUAGUUGGAGAGGUAACGGCUCACCAAGGCGAUGAUGGGUAGCCGGCCUGAGAGGGUGAUCGGCCACAAGGGGACUGAGACACGGCCCUUACUCCUACGGGAGGCAGCAGUGGGGAAUAUUGGACAAUGGACCAAGAGUAUGAUCCAGCAAUUCUGUGUGAACGAUGAAGUUUUUCGGAAUGUAAAGUGCUUUCAGUUGGGAAGAAAAAAAUGACGGUACCAACAGAAGAAGUGACGGCUAAAUACGUG
rnacentral:rRNA from 1 species